rnacentral:lncRNA from 1 species
GCAGGGCAAGAGAGAUUCAUGGGAGAGCUAAGAGGACAAACCCAGUCUCUCCGGACUGGACUGCCUUCUUUCCCCGGGUUGGAGAAGUUAAACACUGCGCUCAAAAGCUAAGGCGCCAGAGAGGAAAUACGGGUUAAAGCCCAGAAAGGGCCGGGCUGAACGUGUCCUCAGACUGGGAGGUGUCAGACUCCGAUCCUCCUCAUUGCCCCCGCAAGUAUAUCCGGAGGAUUCCUCCAAUCGCUCUCUCCUGGAAGACCACUCCCAGCACCCUACUAGCAUCCCCACUUCCAGCCCCUCCCUGGAGAGGAAGAUGAGGGGGUCCCUGCUGGGACCUUGCCAGCCCCUGUACCAGACAUGGGAGCCUUUGCCCUGCUCUGCCCAGACAGCCUCUGUGGGCUCAGGGAGCCAAAGCAGGGAUCCACUCACAAGGAUUCAGCAGAGCCCAGAUUCUGAAGCUGGAAGGAGAGGUUGGGACUUGAAAGAGAAAAUACUGUUAUCCUGUAUGAUAGUUACUGUUUUGCCAUAUUGCAUCGGGGCGUACUAUGUGCCAGACACUGCUUUUUAAUUUUGCUCAUUUAAUUCCUACAGGCCUAGGAGGUGCGUACUAAUAUUGUACCCACUUUUCAGAUGGAGACAUUGAGGCUCCAGGAGAGGAAGCCACUGCCCCAGGAGCCUAGAUCUGUUGGUUCUUUGCCUCUGCAUCACCUAGUUUCAAAUGACCCAAGCCACCUCCUGCCUCCUGGCCCUUGGGCAUCUUCCCUCCCCUGCUUCAGACCCUGGACCCUUCAGCCGCAGAGCCCAGGGGGUCCCUGUCCCUGUCCCUGUCCUGGGACACCACGCUCAGAUACCCUGGGUGGCUAAAGGAAGCAGGGCUUGGGGCUUUCUGCAGGAACAGCCAUCACACCCCAGAGCUUUCCUAGAGUGGUCGUAGGCUGAGUAGUACCUCCUCCACACCCACCCUGAACACACACACACCCAAACAGGCUGCAGGGUGUGGUUUGGAUAAAAGGAAGACAUGGCUCAAGGUUCCAGGCUCCCUGCUGGUUUUUCAAGGCAAUGAGCUGCCCCUCCCUAUGAGUAUGCCAGCACAAGCUCAUGACCCUGUCCAGCCACAGUGCCCCAGGGGUCCCUGCAGCCACCUUGCUUCUUGCCCAGAACUCAAUUCCAGCCUUCGAGGGACUCAGAGAGCGGGGAUGUUUCUCAGGGAUCUCCCAGUGGAAAUGCUGUCAGCAGCGGCCAUCAGUGGAUGAGGCUCCCCUCCCCCGGGGCUUCCUACUUCAGACUCAGACUCCCAUGUGGCAGAGGAGGGGGGUCCCCUCCCCACUGCACAGUGAGCCACACCGGGCCAUGGACUUGAGGUUCGCCUCCCUUCCCACCCAUCCCCUGCUUGACUGACACCCUUCUGCCUGGAGCAUCAUGGGAAUUAAGGAGUAGGCCACUGCCCUGCCCCUCAGAGAAGAGAGGGGAUCCGAAGAGGAGCUAAGGGCUCCCCGUGGCAUGGCCAUCUCUGGCCCAGGGGAUCUGGGGAAGGUGUGGGUGUGGAGAGUUAGCGGAAGGCACAGUAACUCUGGUUGGUGUGACCCCAAGCGUGAUAGUGGGUUUGGGGGCGUGGCUGGCCCUAUGAGCUCAUGGCCUCAGAGGACAGAGACGGCCCCUCCCCUCCAGCUCCAGGGAGGGUGGGAUGGGGUGCAGCUUCCUGUCAAGGACAGACAUGGUCUGAGAGGACCCCAGUCCCUGCCUGGAAGCAAACACUGGUCAGACAGAUACAAGGGACAUUUAGACAACAAAGCCAGCCAUGCUACCAUGAGGACUCAGCCCUCAGCCCUCACCGAGGACAAACCAUGUGGUCAUGGCCACCAGAGAGGAGUGAGGGGAGGAAAGGUGGGGAACUCCAUCUCCAAACUUGGCAUGGUCUCAGCGUUGUCGGAGGACUUUGAGGGAAGGAGGAGGAGAGAAGGACGACGACGACGACGGCCAACGACGACGACAACGCAGGGUGUGUGCUGCGCUGCGGCCCUUGCCUCUGCCCUGCCACUGGCUCCCUGUUGCAGUGCCUGGUCUCCCGCCCUGCCUCUCCCAUCCCUACCCGCAGCCCCAUCCUGCCCAUCUGCGAGGAGCUGUCCCAUAUGUGUGUCCCCUCCACCCGAUCCCAUUCUCCUUCCCUGUUGGUCAGGGC